rnacentral:rRNA from 1 species
AGUGAACGCUGGCGGUAGGCCUAACACAUGCAAGUCGAACGGCAGCACAGUAAGAGCUUGCUCUUACGGGAGGCGAGUGGCGGACGGGUGAGGUAUACAUCGGAAUCUACUUUUUCGUGGGGGAUAUCGUAGGGAAACUUACGCUAAUACCGCAUACGACCUACGGGUGAAAGCAGGGGAUCUUCGGACCUUGCGCGAUUGAAUGAGCCGAUGUGGGAUUAGCUAGUUGGCGGGGUAAAGGCUCACCAAGGCGACGAUCCGUAGCUGGUCUGAGAGGAUGAUCAGCCACACUGGAACUGAGACACGGUCCAGACUCCUACGGGAGGCAGCAGUGGGGAAUAUUGGACAAUGGGCGCAAGCCUGAUCCAGCCAUACCGCGUGGGUGAAGAAGGCCUUCGGGUUGUAAAGCCCUUUUGUUGGGGAAGAAAAGCAGCAGGUUAAUACCCCGCUGUUCUGACGUUACCCAAAGAAUAAGCACCGGCUAACUUCGUG